UACGAGGGGGCAAAUGUUGUUCGGAAUCACUGGGCGUAAAGGGAGCGUAGGCGGGUUCUUAAGUUAGGUGUUUAAUCCCGGGGCCCAACCCCGGACCGGCACUUAAAACUGGGAAUCUUGAAUAGUGGAGAGGUCAGUGGAAUUGGGGUGUAGCGGUGGAAUGCGUAGAGAUCCCCAAGAACACCAGUUGCGAAGGCGGCUGACUGGACACAUAUUGACGCUGAGGCUCGAAAGCAUGGGGAGCAAACAGGG
rnacentral:rRNA from 1 species